rnacentral:rRNA from 1 species
GACGAACGCUGGCGGCGUGCUUAACACAUGCAAGUCGAACGGAAAGGCCCUGCUUUUGUGGGGUGCUCGAGUGGCGAACGGGUGAGUAACACGUGGGUAACCUGCCCUUGACUUUGGGAUAACUUCAGGAAACUGGGGCUAAUACCGGAUAGGAGCUCCUGCUGCAUGGUGGGGGUUGGAAAGUUUCGGCGGUUGGGGAUGGACUCGCGGCUUAUCAGCUUGUUGGUGGGGUAGUGGCUUACCAAGGCUUUGACGGGUAGCCGGCCUGAGAGGGUGACCGGCCACAUUGGGCCUGAGAUACGGCCCAGACUCCUACGGGAGGCAGCGGUGGGGAAUGUUGCACAAUGGGCGGAAGCCUGAUGCAGCAACGCCGCGUGCGGGAUGACGGCCUUCGGGUUGUAAACCGCUUUCGCCUGUGACGAAGCGUGAGUGACGGUAAUGGGUAAAGAAGCACCGGCUAACUACGUG